GCUUGUGCGAGGUCACAGUAGCAGUAACAGCGCAUUUUCCUUCAUCGGUAAACUGACUACCCCUAAAGAACGCAUGCAAAGAGACAGACCGAGACGGGGGAUACAGACGUGUCGGAAUCCUGCAGCUUCGUCGGUGGCUUAGACGUUGCAGGCAACUUUCAUGAACAUCGUCGAAAACAAUAUCAGAAAAAGUGAAAAAGUGAAAGUGGAAGUGAACGGAAAUUAACUUAACUUGGUGAUAUGACUUGUAGUACAUGAACGAAAUGAAUUUUGGGAAACAACAUUGUUAUUGUUUUGUUUGUGUAUUUUAAUUAAUAUUUAAGUUUGAAAAUAAAUGGUUAAAGGUU